UCCCUCGUCGCCGCGCGGCCGCCGGGCUCCGCCUCCCAAGCCCGCCGUGCGGCGCGCAGGAGCCGCCUGUGCCGGGGAGCCUGGCACCCGCCAGCGCCUCGCGCCUAGGCCUGCGCUGGGGCAGCUCCCGGGACACGGGGUCGCUGGCCCCAGCCAAGGCCCGCUCACAUCCCCGAGCGGGUGGAGGGCCAGAGCCCUGGGGCGAGCCCCCGCCCUUGUGCUGCCAGGCGGGGACCCCUCCGCUGCCGCUCGGACCACAGAAAGCCCCUUAUCGGGGGGGGGCGCUUGCCAUACCAGCCCAAGGGGGGGAUUUAAACCGGGUUACGCAACUGCUGCAGCGGCCUGUGUGGACGCUCAUCCUCGGUGAAAAUACUUCCCCCUCCUCUUCCUCCUGUAGGUGGAACAUCUCCCUUAGGAGAAUUUAUUGGUCAACUCUUGUACCUUAGUGGCUCAGCUGAACAGACGGAAGAAAUCUGGACAUUUGAAUGCUCAGACACCUCUCAAGUUCCCCUGCAGACGGAAAGCCAGCCACUGGACAUUUGCAUUUAUCGAGACCUCCUCAUGACCCUGGGGCUUUACACAUUUUUUGCAAAGAAAGCAAUGAUUCCAUCGCCUUCCAUCCUACAAAAAAGAUUUUAUGAAUGGCUGAACAGCUUCUUCACAGCAAGUACUCGAGUCUCAACAGAAUGUUAAGUACACAAAAUAAAG